rnacentral:rRNA from 1 species
GGGUUGUGAGGUUAAGCGACUAAGCGUACACGGUGGAUGCCCUGGCAGUCAGAGGCGAUGAAGGGCGUGCUAAUCUGCGAUAAGCGCCGGUAAGGUGAUAUGAACCGUUAUAACCGGCGAUACCCGAAUGGGGAAACCCAGUGUGACUCGUCACACUAUCAUUAACUGAAUCCAUAGGUUAAUGAGGCGAACCGGGGGAACUGAAACAUCUAAGUACCCCGAGGAAAAGAAAUCAACCGAGAUUCCCCCAGUAGCGGCGAGCGAACGGGGAGGAGCCCAGAGCCUGAAUCAGCAUGUGUGUUAGUGGAAGCGUCUGGAAAGGCGCGCGAUACAGGGUGACAGCCCCGUACACAAAAG